CUUCGCCUCCACAUAGUCCGCAUAGCUGCCGGUGUACUCGGAGCCAUCGUGCAGAUGUGCGCCAAACGGUCCGAUCGAGGCAAUAAUCAGCGGGAAACCUGCAAAAGCAGAGUCCAAGGUUCAGCGAUUAGGCAUUCACUUUUAAAGGAUCCAAAGGAUCAAAUGAUCUAAGCGUGAAAUGUUCUCUAUGGAAUUACGAACAAUUCUUGGAAUGGAAGGAAUUUCGUAACUUACCUUCGGGCACCGCCAGCUGUGCCUCAUAGCAUUCCGUCAGGUACUUCUCUUUGGCAAUGUGCGCCAGUCGCACCGUAUUCUUGAUCAGCUCGAUGCUCUCCUGCUCGUCCAGCUCCAGGUACUCCAUGUAGCCCUCGACACUCGUCUGAUAGGUGUUGGUCAAUAUCAUAUCAGC